GAGCCACGAAGAGAAAAUACUUUCGGCGUAUGAUCCUGAGACGACCCCUGGGAUCCUAACGCGCUCUGAGGGUGAUGAGAGCGACACAUUGCGGGGGUUAAAGUGCCUGUCGAGAACGGCGAGGAAGUGGCGAGGUUCGUAAAAAUCGGCAUCGGGGGCGUGCGAUCCAGGCAGCGGUA